GCAGUGUUGUUACAGUCAUCCAACCUGUAGCUCAGUUCACGAUGACAAACAGACAGCUGCUUUCCCCUAGAGAACACUGAAUAUAUUCCUCUGCUGUUGAACAAUACAAUGACGSUCGGAGCUUCUGUUAACUUCUCCAUCCUACUGCUCCUGUUGCCAGGAGCUUUGAACAGCAGCAGAAUCUCCCAGACGCCUGCAGCAGUAAUAGUGAGGCCAAAAGAAAGCAGUAGUCUCAGCUGUAGCCACAACACCUCAAACGUUUUCUACAUGUACUGGUACAGACGACCAGCACAGAGCAGWGCCCUCACACUAGUGGGCUACCUGUACUCAGACACAGCCAACCUAGAGACAGACUUUACCAACGAUCGCUUCGGUCUCCAAGGAAACGCAGGUAGUCGUGGAGACCUGCAGAUAUCCGAUCCUACCACAGAGGACUCUGGGGAGUAUUUCUGUGCGACCAGCUUAGCACGCUGCUCUAGAUCCUCUUCCUUCCUCUACAAAAACCCCUCUCUCUGGUACGCCACACAGUGCGUAGUCUUUGACUGGCGUACACAGUGAGAACUCACUUCACUACAAGGUGUAAAUGUUUUUGGAUUACCUUGGUUAUUAGAUGUCUUCCUGUUCUAGGUUUAGGGUAGCGUGUUUUCACGUCAUGUUAAGGAACAAAAUAGGCAGUGUAUCUUGUUGUCGUUACAGAAGUUGGGAUGAUGUCAUUUCCUGCCCAUUCCCGCUCCUCAGACAUGUCGCUGUGUUUGUAAAUGGUCACCUCAGUCAUCUCUCUUAGCAGACGGUCUUAUCCAGAGCGAGUUACCGAGACAACAUGAUCACAGUUGUCAUCUGCCUCACCGUCUCCAUCGUCUUCCAC